rnacentral:tRNA from 1 species
GAGUCUGUAGUAUAGUGAAAAAUACACGAGGGCGUAAACCGUGAGGCGUGAGUUCGACUCCCACCAGUUUUA